CUCCUUUGACGUUAGCGGCGGACGGGUGAGUAACACGUGGGUAACCUACCUAUAAGACUGGGAUAACUUCGGGAAACCGGAGCUAAUACCGGAUAAUAUUUGAACCGCAUGGUUCGAUAGUGAAAGGUGGUUUUGCUAUCACUUAUAGAUGGACCCGCGCCGUAUUAGCUAGUUGGUAAGGUAACGGCUUACCAAGGCGACGAUACGUAGCCGACCUGAGAGGGUGAUCGGCCACACUGGAACUGAGACACGGUCCAGACUCCUACGGGAGGCAGCAGCC
rnacentral:rRNA from 1 species